rnacentral:rRNA from 1 species
GACGAACGCUGGCGGCGUGCUUAACACAUGCAAGUCGAGCGGUAAGGCCCUUUCGGGGUACGACGAGCGGCGAACGGGUGAGUAACACGUGGGUGACCUGCCUUCAGCUCUGGGAUAAGCCUGGGAAACUGGGUCUAAUACCGGAUAUGACUCCAUGAUGCAUGUUGUGGGGUGGAAAGCUUUUGCGGCUGGAGAUGGGCCCGCGGCCUAUCAGCUUGUUGGGUGGGGUGAGGCCUACCAAGGCGACGACGGGUAGCCGGCCUGAGAGGGCGACCGGCCACACUGGGACUGAGACACGGCCCAGACUCCUACGGGAGGCAGCAGUGGGGAAUCUUGCGCAAUGGGCGAAAGCCUGACGCAGCGACGCCGCGUGAGGGAUGACGG